rnacentral:rRNA from 1 species
AGUGAACGCUGGCGGCAGGCCUAACACAUGCAAGUCGAACGAGUGGCGGACGGGUGAGGAAUACAUCGGCAUCUACUCUGUCGUGGGGGAUAACGUAGGGAAACUUACGCUAAUACCGCAUACGAUUGAAUGAGCCGAGGUCGGAUGAGCUAGUUGGGGGGGUAAAGGCCCACCAAGGCGACGAUCCGUAGCUGGGCUGUGCGAAUGAUCAGCCACACUGGAACUGAGACACGGUCCAGACUCCUACGGGAGGCAGCAGUGGGGAAUAUUGGACAAUGGGCGAAAGCCUGAUCCAGCCAUGCCGCGUGGGUGAAGAAGGCCUUCGGGUUGUAAAGCACUUUUGUUGGGAAAGCGGUACCCAAAGAAGAAGCACCGGCUAACUUCGUGCCAGCAGCCGCGGUAAUAC